ACGAACGCUGGCGGCAUGCCUUACACAUGCAAGUCGAACGCGAAAGUCCUUUCGGGGGCGAGUAGAGUGGCAAACGGGUGAGUAACGCGUGGGAAUAUACCUUAUAGUACGGGAUAGCCUCGGGAAACUGGGAUUAAUACCGUAUACGCCCCAAGGGGGAAAGAUUUAUCGCUAUAAGAUUAGCCCGCGUCAGAUUAGCUAGUUGGUGGGGUAACAGCCUACCAAGGCAACGAUCUGUAGCUGGUCUGAGAGGACGAUCAGCCACAUUGGGACUGAGACACGGCCCAAACUCCUACGGGAGGCAGCAGUGGGGAAUAUUGGACAAUGGGCGAAAGCCUGAUCCAGCAAUGCCGCGUGAGUGAUGAAGGCCUUAGGGUUGUAAAGCUCUUUAAGUGGGGAAGAUAAUGACGGUACCCACAGAAUAAGCACCGGCUAACUUCGU
rnacentral:rRNA from 1 species